AGAAGGAGAAGAAGGAGAAGAAGAAGAAGAAGAGCCUUGCAAAUGCAUCUCCAGGCAACUCCCAGGGCUGCAGGGCUUCCACCUGUACCUCAGAACAGACAGGCCGAGUACAGCUGAGACCCGAGUGAGGCGUUAGCUGGCAGAAAAACCUGCAUCUCUCUGGCAACUCGACUCUCACCAGUACUUUCCUGAGAGCAAGGCAUUUGCCCGCAGCACAUUCUUCCAGGCCGAGUGCUGGCGCUCUAUCAGGCCACAUGCUGCAAUUACUCCAGCAAGUUAGUGCAGCUCCUUCAUUUCAGCACUGGUCUCCAGCUGCCCACGCCUUCCAGAGGAUUCACUGAGGAGGAGACACUGAUGCCCACGUGAUGUCUGGGUAGGCAUAGUCACUUGCCCUGGCCAUAGAUCACCAUCUAUACAUGCAGCUCUAUUAGAGAGGACUCCUGCACUAGUUAACCAUGUCUGUGCACAGCUGAGGGGCCCAUGCCUAUGGUGGGCAGGAAAGCUGUGGCUUUUACAGUGUCUUCCCAGCAUCCUCUCCCUACACCCAGACAUGGCCUUGGAUAUGACCACUCCUAGCUUGCUUAUUUAACCUAUACUUACUGAGAAUGGAUCCAGACCAGAGUGUACCUGGGUAGGCAGUGAGAUAGACUCCUUUUCUAAGUCACUAGGUGAAGUGGGAACUUCCCUACAGACUCCCCACAGAGCCUGGGCAUGUGGGAACUCUUACCACAGAAAAGAUACAUGACAUUGCUUAGUGCCAGAGGUCGAGUUGAUAGUACAGGUUAUAAAGUGUUCCUGGGAAGGCUAUGGUAAACUGCAGGGCUAUAGGUGGUCUAGACAGAGCAGGGACACUGAGUUACUGGGACACUCUGGUGUAGUCAUGGAGACUCCAACUAGUCCUUCUGCUGGCUGUAUGGCCAGGACCUGCCUGCCUUUUUAGAAACUGCCCUCUCUCUCCCAGAUGCAUCUUGACCUCCUCUACUGAGGAACCCGUCUGUAUUUAUUACUUUUCUCAUCACUUUGACAGAAGCUUUAUGGGAGAGGAAGAUUUGCUUUGGACCCAGGUUUAGUUCAUCCGGACAGGACAGGUGUGGUGAUGGGAGCAGCUUGGUCCAUGUGGGUAGGAGCAGGAGGCCACUGCUUGUUCACAUCACAGAAAAUGAAAAGGCUAGAGCUGCAGACCAGAGCCUUCAAAAGGCCAGGCUCUGAUGACCUAUGUCUGUCCCCUACACCCCUCAUCCCCAAAAUAGUGGAAACUUUCUGGGGCCCAGGUGUUCAAACGUGGGAAUCUUUUGGGUGGCUUCAGACCUAAACCAUACACCUUUCCUGAUCUCUGUCACCAAGAACCUUCCUCAGGGCUCCUUGAGGGCAGACACAGAGUGGCCCAACCCAGCCAAAAGGGAGAACAAAGGUGCUGAGCUGCAUGGCUGCCCAGAGAGAGAAGCUGGACCCACCCCCAGCUGCCCACAUUCUAUCCUGGCCUCCCUACCCAUCUCUUCCUGGUUCCCAAACAUGCAGGACGCACCACACAUUCUGCAUCUGACUUCUAAACAAAACGGAAACAAAGGCACUUCCUUAGGAAGGCUCAACGCCCGAUGUUUGUUCUUCUUAUUGGAACCCUGGUGAGCCAUGGGGCACUCGCUGUUUGUGGGCUUAUUAAAAAGAAAUGCAUGGAAGGAAUAAUUGCCUGUUCUGUGGUGAGAAAUUACCGUCUCUGUUUUAUUUAUUGCUGUAUAGGAAACAAACAUAGCAUGUAAUUUAGUGAUUAGAACUUUGCAACUUUCGUUUCGUAUAAUUGCAUGCUUUUAUUCAGUAAAGCUAUUACUUUGAUUUUAAAAAAAUCCUUUCUGACCCCUUUCAGGGUCCUCAGAAGCAGAAGGGUCUCACGUGGAGAUUUUCAGCAAGCCUGAGAGUGAUGACCCUGUCUUUUCACCAGGAAUUGUGGGUGGGAGCUGGCAAGGUACUGGUGGAGGAGGGAUGCUGGAUUUGGCCAGCAAUGGUUAACAAGCAGGGAGGGAAGUGGAGUAGCUUCUGCACAUCAUCCGAAUCCUCAAGGGACAGGAGCUUAUAAAGUGCUAAUGUGGCCACGAAGGGGCUGAUGAACAGAGGCUUGUCCUAGGCUGGCCCUGGGUCAUCAGCUGCCCUUGGCCUGGAGUGUGGACAGUGACCAGCAUCCAUCUUUUACAGUGCUAGCCUGGGCCGUCCCAUGUGUGGCCCAUGACUCCUGUUGCUGCUCCAGGCCCUAGAGUUACUGCCUUACCCCCAUAUCCUGAGUCUGAUGUUCCAUGCAGCCCAGCCCAUCCUCCCCAAACAGGGUGCAACUCUGUGGCGUCCCGUCGCUCAACAGAAGCAUGGCCUCAUUUCCCAUGGUCCUUUAUCACCAAAGCUGGGACAGGCUGUAUUGCAAACAGGGAGAGGUCCUGGUCACUGAAACCUGCUCUAAGGUCACUAUAAGUGGACAGGGACUCUAAACACCUAGCCUCUGGGUGUUCAUAUUCUGUUUUGUGAAUUUGUGUAUUCAAUAUUUAUCCAAAUUCCUGAAAUUUCCCAAAUAUGAAAAUAUAUACCUCAAGACAGAAGAUUAUUGAAGUCCAAUGAACUUUGUCCCCCUGUGCUCUGUUGGGGUCCCCUUUCCUCUAACACCUGCCCCUGGAGGGCAUGAAAGCUAUAGCUAAAGAUGUCACCAUGUCUUUCUGAUCAUCCAGCCUUUCUGUCCUGUCUACGUGACAAUUCACCUCCAAUACGGUCGUUGCAGCUAAAGACUAAACAUCCUUCAAGUCCUACGUUGAGACACCACUGCUCUGACCGCCCACCUGACCUUUCCUGGCCCCAGGAAACAACCUGUGAAUGAGGAGAUAGAUGGAAGAUCCAUGAGCAGGCCACCAGUUCACUAGUCACAGUCCCAUCUAGGGCUCAUGGGACUAAACAGUCAGGGUUCCUUUGUUGUCAAAUGCUGCAUGGAGGUUAGAUGGAUGCUGAGCUGGCCAAUAGGACUUUCUUUUCCCUGCAGACUCAGUCCCAUCUGGGCUGAGUGGAGCCAAUUAACAUCCUGAUAGGGCUCCAAAGCUGCUGAGUUGCUGGGUUCUGUCCUUUACAGGAAUGGAGAAAGCCUGACCCAGGCAUGCAGCUUUCUAGGCCACUGCCUGUGACCUGAGACCCCGAUCCAGAACCUGGGAGGAGUUCCUAUGAGACUGACUUUUGCACCCCACGAGUGACACCACAGCCUGACUCUGAGUCUUUUCAUUUGCCCUCUGUUCUUCUCAACUCUGAGAUUCUCAACCAAGGUUCAUUUGGCUUGCGUUCUGCCUGAGUUAUGUUCUAAACACAUUCUAAGGAAGAGCCGCGUUUAUAGGAACUUGCUGUUCCUUCAUCCAAUAGAUGUUUCUUGGUUUAGGGUGAAAAUUGAAUCAGGAUUCCAAAGCGACUGCACAUGGCCAAGUCCUCUUGUGUUGGGCUGACGGUACCAUGUGCUUCUGGCAGUGCUGGCUUCACUCCUCAUGUUGGCCCAGGUACAGACAUUGUGUAGAGUAUUUCUCUACAGGGUUCUACUUUCCUACUGCCAGUGUCAUUUCAGACACUUCCUUUUCUAGAAAACACUUUGGUCCCAGUACCACAUGGCAUCAGAUGUCUUAGCCCAGGCAAGGAUGACAGAGUGGGCAGCUAAGCACAGUGUGUACACAGGUAGAUCUGUCCUGGUUAAUUUUACGUCAACUUGAUUGUCAACUAGAGUCAUUUGGGAAGAGGAACUCUCCAUGGAGAAAAUGCUUCCAUAAGAUUGUCUAAUAGACAAGUCUGUUGAUAUUUUUCAUAAUGAUUGAUGAGGAAACUCCAACCCAUUCUGGGCAGUGCCACCCCUGGGAAGGUGGUCCUGGAUUGUGUAAGAAAGCAGGAUGAAUGGGAUAUGAGAAGCAAGCCAAGAAGUGUUCCUCCAGGGCUUCUGCUUUAGUUCCUGAUUCUAGGUUCCUGCACUGGGUUCCUGCCUUACAUCCCUCAAGGCUGAACUGUGAUAUGGGAUAUAAACUGAAAUAAACCUUCUCCUCCUCAAGUUGCUUUUGGUCAUGCUGAUUUAUUAACAACAGAAACUGUCUUAACUAUUUCUUCUUUUGCCACUACCAUGGCCAAAAAUCCGACCAAAGCAACUUAAAGAAGAAAUGACCAUCAUGUGGAGGAGCAUGGCAGUAGACAGGCAGGCAUGGUGUUGGAACAGUGGCUGAGGGCUGACAUUGGAUCCACAACCAGGAGGCAGACAAAGAGCUAACUGGCAAUGGUGUAGGUGUUUGGAACCUCAAAGCCCCACCCAGCGACACACCUCCUCCAACAAGGUUCCACAUUCUAACCCUCCCCAAGCAGUUUCACCAACUGAGGACCGAGUAUUCAAAAAGAUUAUUUUAUGGGGCCAUUCACAUUCAAAACACCACAAAAAAAAAACACCCUGACACAUGCACAAACAACACACUUACAUGUACAUAGCACAGAUGUGUAUACCACACACACACACAGGCAUGCAAGUGACUCGCUCACUGAUACACAGACAUAGAAGCAAUGUCCCACACCCCCAUGAUGCAAUAUGCACACCAGGCAGCCUUACACACAGGUUUAUACACAACUCCCACAAACAACUGUGUCUUCCCCCAAUCCCUUUUCAGUGCUCAUCUACCACUAAUCUGUUCUCCAUUUUCCCUACCUUUCUACUUUAAGAAUGACAGGAACAUGGAAUUAUAGCGUGUACAACCUCUUAGAGUUGUCCGUCCUCAGUCAUCAUAAGUUUGGAGGUACAUUAAACUUCCCUGUCAAUUACUUUUCAUUCUUCAUUCAUUCAUUCAUU
rnacentral:sRNA from 1 species